rnacentral:rRNA from 1 species
UUGUCGGGUAGCUACGUAUGGAGCAGAUAAGCGCUGAAAGCAUAUUAAGCGCGAAACUGACCUCAAGAUUAGAUUUCCCUAUGAGACCCCUGAUAGACGAUCAGGUUGAUAGGCGCAAGGUGGAAGUGUGGCAACAUAUGGAGCCGAAGCGUACUAAUAGGUCCAUCGAUUUUUUAUG